ensembl:lncRNA
CACACACACACACACACACACACACACACACACACACACACACAUACGGGUUUUUGUGAGCUACAAGGACACUGUGCCCCAAACCAGUUUUUUCCUACAUUAGGGGGACACCCCUUUCCACUUGCGCUACAGAGAUGUGGUGUAUAUCAAAAAAUCUAUUUUGAGCCAUACAACACAGAUCUCACUUCAGAGUUUGUUUACACACAACACAACUUAUAAUCUAACAACCUGACAAGAUACAUAAUUAUGAGGACAACUGAUAAUUAGAUGACAAGCCCCGCCUAUGACAAAACUAUUAUAAGGACUAACAUGAUUUAUAAGGACAGUGUCUAUACACACACACACACACACGUCAUUAAGGUGUAUUAAAGGGUCAAACAUGAAUAACAGGAACAUGGCUAAACACAUACACACACACACACUUCAUUAAGGUGUAUUAAAGGGUCAAACAUGAAUAACAGGAACAUGGCUAAACACAUACACACACACACUUCAUUAAGGUGUAUUAAAGGGUCAAACAUGAAUAACAGGAACAUGGCUACACACACACACACACACACACACUUCAUUAAGGUGUAUUAAAGAGUCAAACAUGAAUAAAUGGAACAUGGCUAAACACAAAAGUGAAGGCAUUGUGCAUUAAAAGGACAUACCUAAUUUCUGAGAACAAAUUAUUAGACUCAGCACAUCGUACACCAGCACUAUGCAUUGCAUAGACAUCUCUCACCUGUGGGGACAUACUCCAACAGACCCAACUAUUUAAAAUAUGUAUGAUAUUUUUGUAUAGUCAUGUAAAUAUUCAACCAUACCUUUUACAACAUGCAUUCAAGGACCUGCUUUUUGUGUGAUAUGACCGUUUAUCCACAUGACCAUAUGAUCUUUUAACAGACAUGAGGACAUAUAACAGUAUGCAGUGUCAGUGAACAAGGAGCAAAAGUUUAAUAAGUGCAUAUUUAGCAUUACAGUAGUUGCCCUCCUGAUUUAUAAUGUAUAAUUUCAGAAACAAAAUUUCAGAAAUAAGUAUUAAUGAACAUUGCUGAAUGCAUAUGAACAGCUUAAACAGUUUAAAGCUUAAAACUCAAAGCUUAAAGAUUUUUAAACUUUUCCCAUACAUAUAAACAACAACAACAACCACCACCACCACCACUUAUUCAGUAUUUUUCAAGUUUUUUUUUUUAGUGUUAAGCCCCGAUUCCUAACAAAGUCUCUUAUAUUUUGCAGAGAACGAUUAGCCAAAGCAGGAUGCUCAGCAGUCUUGCACUGUUGGCAUUCAAUUUUACUAGCCAGUUUACCCCUUGCAACGUGGUCCCGGAAAUGCCUCAGUACUGCAGCAAUUUCUGUCGGAGACCAUAUCCGUUUCUGUUUUCUUCUUGCAUUAUCCCUUUCAUCAGAAUUUUCAAGAAUCACUACAAAAGAGGAAAACAGAUUACUGAACCCUGGGGUGACCACCAUGAUUGGUCAGAG